rnacentral:lncRNA from 1 species
UGUGUCUCUCUCUUCCAUUUGACUUCCUGCUCAGGGAAUUUGGCUGAAGGCGCCGUGAUCUCCGCUAAGCCAGAGUGACAUGUGCCUGGCAGAAUUUGCAGGCUAUAGGGA